GUCUCCUUCGUCUAUCGGUUAGGACAUCGGAUUUUCAUUCCGACAAGAGGGGUUCGACUCCCCUAGGAGAUGCCA
rnacentral:tRNA from 2 species